GGACCAAGGAGUCUAGCUUGUGCGCGAGUCAUUGGGAUUUUUACUAAACCUAAAGGCGUAAUGAAAGUGAAGGUCCGCCUUGCGCGGACCGAGGGAGGAUGGACCGUUCUGAGGGACGGCCUCGCACUCCCGGGGCGUCUCGCUCUCAUCGCGAGAAGAGGCGCACCCAGAGCGUACACGCUGGGACCCGAAAGAUGGUGAACUAUGCCUGGUCAGGACGAAGUCAGGGGAAACCCUGAUGGAGGUCCGUAGCGAUUCUGACGUGCAAAUCGAUCGUCGGAACUGGGUAUAGGGGCGAAAGACUAAUCGAACCAUCUAGUAGCUGGUUCCCUCCGAAGUUUCCCUCAGGAUAGCUGGCGCUCGCUUCUCGCGAGUCUCAUUCGGUAAAGCGAAUGAUUAGAGGCAUUGGGGUCGAAACGGCCUCAACCUAUUCUCAAACUUUAAAUGGGUGAGAUCUCCGGCUUGCUUGAACUGUGAAGCCGCGAGAUAUCGGAUCAGAGUGCCAAGUGGGCCACUUUUGGUAAGCAGAACUGGCGCUGUGGGAUGAACCAAACGCCGAGUUAAAGCGCCUAAAUCGACGCUUAUGGGAUACCAUGAAAGGCGUUGGUAACUUAAGACGCCAGGACGGUGGCCAUGGAAGUCGGA
rnacentral:rRNA from 1 species